AUUGAACGCUGGCGGCAGGCCUAACACAUGCAAGUCGAGCGGUUGAGGUAGCUUGCUACCGAUACAGCGGCGGACGGGUGAGUAAUACAUGGGAAUCUGCCUGGUAGUGGGGGACAACGUUUCGAAAGGAACGCUAAUUCCGCAUACGCCCUACGGGGGAAAGGGGGGGAUCUUCGGACCUCUCGCUAUCAGAUGAGCCCAUGUCAGAUUAGCUUGUUGGUGAGGUAAAGGCUCACCAAGGCGACGAUCUGUAACUGGUCUGAGAGGAUGAUCAGUCACACUGGAACUGAGACACGGUCCAGACUCCUACGGGAGGCAGCAGUGGGGAAUAUUGGACAAUGAGCGCAAGCCUGAUCCGGCCAUGCCGCGUGUGUGAAGAAGGCCUUAGGGUUGUAAAGCACUUUCAGUGGGGAGAAAGGCCUUUUACUUAAUACGUAAGAGGAUUGAUGUUACCCACAGAAGAAGCACCGGCUAACUCCGUGCCAGCCGCCGCGGUAA
rnacentral:rRNA from 1 species